CUUGGCUGAUCCACCCCAGAAGCACCAAACAGGGCAGGCAAAUGGGGGAUUGAUGGUACAGCACGAGUCAAAGGUCCUUCAGGCUGACGCAGUUACACCUUUACCUCAGACCACGCAGCAAGUGGCAGCAGUAGUGCUGCACCAUCUGCCAGCGCUGUGGCAGUGCUCGUGGGCAUGAAAUCUCUGCAGCAAGCACUGCCGGACCCGUGCUGGUGAGAGAGAGCCGUGCUGGUGAGAGCCGUGCCUCUGUCAGCACUGCAAGAGGAGCGCCAGCCAAGGUAUGAAGAGGGGCUGCUCCCACCCAGACCAGAGGCUUACAGCAACACUGUCUGGUGGGCAAGGCUGGGGUGGGCAUGCCGGACUCCAGCCUGCCCGUGCCAUGCCGGGCUGCCCCUCUCCCGGCAGAGCCCAAGCUGACUCCGCGCUCCUGGGCAGCGCAGCCCGGGCGCGGGUGUGCAGGGAGGGCUCUGGCAGCAGCCCCCGUGCCGGAGGAAGGGAAUCUAGGUCACAGAUCCUCUCCGAGAACAAGUACAUCUGAGGCUGCCAAGGGAAACAAACUGGCAGGAGAAAGGGGAACAAACUGGCUUGCAAAGCAACAGGAGAAUGGAGAGAAGUAACUCAGUGAUUGAAAGCAGGACACUCCGGGAAAGCACUUUAAAAUAUAUUGUUUUGAGCUGGAAUGACUGACACAGAAGAUGAAAUUAAUAAGUUAAUACGGGCCAUCAUGAAUAUUGAUGAAUUCCAGUCACAGCAUGCCUCAUUCUGCAAAGUUUCUCCUGAGCCUUACAGCCCUCACUGCUUUGCCUGGCAAAGAUGACACAAAAAUUCGAUGCGUCCUACGCCUCCAAGUUUAUGACCAGUAUAGAAAACACAUUUUCCCUUGAAAAUAAGUUUCUAUUUUUUAGCUUUGAAUGUGACUGCCAAUUGUCCAAAAACAGACUGGCUCGUUGCUGAUUGUAACUGCAGGAAGAAAAGGUGUCUGUGCUUGGGUGCAAAUACUCUCUGUACUUUCACAACAGUAGUAGAUAUGGGAAUCCUUGUCUGCUCCAGAAGUCUUAAAGAAGUUUUGGCACCUCUGCCACCAAAGGUAAACAACCCCAAGAAAAACACUUGUUUCUCUGAUGUGAUCCUGUCCAGUCUCCUCAAGAACUGUAGCACAAUGCUUGACCCCAAGGCCAAAGCCAAGCAAUAAAGUGAACUUUAACCUUUGGCUCUGAAGAACAGGCAUGUGUGAGAAGAAAAAGCUGUGGAAGCAUUUCUCGAAGACACUGGUAUCAUGCCUAAGGUGGUCCAUGCACUUUCACCUAAGAACUCCUGUUGGAAACCAGCAGCUCUAGCAAAGGAAUGUCUCUCCUUAAUGCCUACAUCAGCUUUGUGUGGAGACAGGGGAGAAAAAACCCACUGUAAAACCCAAGACUUAUAUGAACAGCUCAAGUUAACAAAUUGUAUUAGCUGUUCAGCUAAAGGCAGAAAAAAUACUACAGGAGAAAAAAACCCCACAAAGAUCGGUAUUGUUAUUUUAAAGGAAAUCCAAAUUAUGAUAUUAGUUUUCCCAGCCUGAGAAAAAGCAAAAGCAAACAAACCCAAAGCAAUUUAUUUCGUAUGACAAAAAAGUAUGACAGGGAAAAGUACUUAGAUAAAUCAAUAGGAAUAAUAGCAACACCCAAAGACAUAAAAAGGGGUUUCUCACUGUACAGGAGACAAAAUGCUUCACAGACCACAGUGAAGGGAAGGUCAUCUAUUAAAAAACCUCAGACAAUAUGAACAUUUUACAAGUUGUACCAAGCAGGAACAGGAAGAUACACAAUGAAAUGAAAUACCAUAAAAUGGCUUCAUCAACUAAACUUCCAAUGAAACUGGAAAUGUCAGAAUGAAUAAAGAUUAUCCACUUUAGUUGCUUGUUGAAUAAUUUAACCUGAGAGAAGGGCCUGACAGCAGAUGAGCUGCCUUUCCCAGAUGUGGACAGCUGGGCUGUCAAAUACAACUCAUAUUUCUGAGGUGACAAGUGAACAAAUGACUAAAUUCAGGCAUGGCAAAACCAUCAAUGAAUUAUUUUCAUUUUAAUGCACUUUGUAGAUUAAAUUGCAAACCAGAUUGGUAGCUGAAUUUUAUAAAUGGUCCUGUGACCAUGCUUUGCAUGAUGUGAGGUGGCCAUCUGUAGGGGAAGCCAUAUAUAAGGUAUUUAGAGGUUUUCUGUCUUUCUCAGCUAUGUUAGAACAAACAUCCACAGUAUAUAUAAAUUUGGUCUUGCCUCAGAAGAAAUCUAUAUUGUAUGCUGUGAAAAAGGCUAUAAACAAGGUUGUUUACCCUCAGGCAUGAGAAAUCCACAGCGUGUCUGUUUGAUACUUACAGUACACAGCGCACACAGAGUAGGAUAAAUUGUUGCAAUCCCAUUAUAAAAUCCAUCUAAGGUUACUAGUGAAUGAUCUCUAAUAAUUUUAAAAUGUGUAAACAGGAAACUACUCGCCUGUUAGCAGAUAUUUUUGGAUAUUAUGGAGAAUUGAAGAUAAUCCCUGAUGUAGUUACAAAUGACAAGCUGUUUUAAUUUAUGCUUUUGUACUACUCAGAAUUUUGCCCAGGAGGGGGGUAGGACAUGCCAAAACAUUUACAAAUGUGUCUCUGACCAGCACUCAGGACAAUCAACUAUGCAUUUUUUGAGUCAUAUGACUCUUCAGGCAAAAAUUUGCCAUAUAAAAAGAUAUUUUAAAUCUAUAUAGACUUUCUGUUUAGCUUUGGCUGUUAAGUCAGUGUCUGGACUAGCUCUCUCCUUAGGUACAGGCAUCUCAUGAAGGUUCUUCUGCUGGCCUUGAGGUUAUGUUCAAGUCAGGUUGAACACUGUUGGAGCCAGGCUUUCCUCAGAGGUGCACAGAGGCAGGAGCACAGGUAAAUAGGCCAAGAUUCAUACAGAGAAACAAUGAGCACAUGGAAGGAAAAAAAGUGUUCCUCCCAAGGGCUAUGUAACAACAGAACAGGCACCCACAGGUGCCACGAGACACCCAUCCCCAGACCCCAGCCACAUUUCAUAGCACAAGGGAUUGAGCAGAAAAAAAAUCCUGAUUUUCAUGGUGUGUAGGCUUUUCAGAGAUUUUUCCCUUUAGAUUUUAAGUUCACUUAGCUAUAAAACAUUAAAACUCCAAGUCACUGCCUCCCUCUGGCAGGCUGCUGGAAGAAGGUGGCACAAGGCUGUGCCAAUGCCACCUCCCUGUGGCACAGCCCAUGCUGCACCCACCUGGUGUAACCCCCACCUGCUGCAGAGGUGUGCAGGGGCUCUCACUCCUCUCCUGUCUCCCAGAGCCUUCUGUGUGAGCAGAGGUGGCCAGGGGGAAGGGCUUUGUGCUCAGCUCUGUUCCUGCCUGGCUGGGUGACAUGAUGCAAGGGCUCUCUCUGAGCUACAGCUAAGCCAGGUUUUUGAUACCCAAGGCAUGAGUCUUUUCUCAGACUGGGGGGUCAGCUGCUGUGUUUGUCCAGGAUUUUGAGAUAGAGGAUGCUACAGAAAAGCCAAACAAGGAAGUCCUAGUGGAGCAUGAGGCAAGGAAAUCAGACAUUGUCACAUUUAAUCUUCUCCCCUGCACCUCUGCUUUGUUCUGUUCCAACUUGUUAGGCAGGGCAGAACUGGCACUUCAGUCAGGGGGAGGUGGCUGAGCCAUGACAGUGUAACACAGCUGGAGAACACCAUUUACCAGGAGCCUUUUCAACACAGUGUCCUGCUACAAAGCCUGUCCUGGGAACAGGACAAGACCUCUCCUAAGCAGCCGUGGGCUCUGAAGAGAGAGCCAGCUGUGCAUCCCACAGUCAAUGCACAGGACUUCCCAGAUGUGCUUUACCUUGGCACACACCUUGGGGACACACCUUGCCUUGACAGCAAGGACAGCAAGGAGAGCUGGUGGGACCUAGAGCUUAUCACUUCUAGAGAAGUGAAGUAGAAAACAUCUGGCACAGUUAUGCAAUUGCUUCCAGUAAUAACCCAGCCUUUACCUCCCUACAGGCAGUGAGUCAAAGGGUAGGAGGCUGAAAAAAUGUGUGAGGUUAGCACUUUAGCAGCAUGCACAGAGUCCUGUCAUAGCCAGUGGUGAUUUUUAUUCCCUUCACCUCCGACUGCCUUGUUCAUAUGUCUCUCUUCCCUCACAAACAGGACUUUUUAAACCUCCCAGCUGACAGGUUAUACGCACACAGUGUGACAACAUGGGGUCCAGAAGCCCAGCUGAAAUCGUGUUCUUAAGGGAGAUCCUGGUUUUCCCAGCAGGAACAGUGGUGUGCCAGAAAGGAGAUCAGUGUGCUGGGCUGCAGGACUAUCAGAAAGGGGAAGAGUGAGACAUUUCCUUGAAGGAGGCUAUUAGGUCCUGUAUUCAAUGUAAUGCCUUGCUUUUAGGAUUUUCUUGACCCUCAAAAGGUGACCCUCUACAAGGUCAAUCAGAAAGAAAUUUUCUCUUGCUGUGAGCUACAGGAUUAGUUUACAAUGUGGUGCUUUUCCACUUGAAAAAUCCUUGAGGAAACUUUUCAUUGUUGCUCUGAAUAAAAAAAUUCAAGUG